rnacentral:rRNA from 1 species
AGUCGAGGGGUAUAGGUUUUCGGACCUAGAGACCGGCGCACGGGUGCGUAACGCGUAUGCAAUCUACCUUUCACAGAGGGAUAGCCCAGAGAAAUUUGGAUUAAUACCUCAUAGUAUAACGACUCGGCAUCGAGAUGUUAUUAAAGUCACAACGGUGAGAGAUGAGCAUGCGUCCCAUUAGCUAGUUGGUAUGGUAACGGCAUACCAAGGCGACGAUGGGUAGGGGUCCUGAGAGGGAGAUCCCCCACACUGGUACUGAGACACGGACCAGACUCCUACGGGAGGCAGCAGUGAGGAAUAUUGGACAAUGGGCGCAAGCCUGAUCCAGCCAUGCCGCGUGCAGGAUGACGGUCCUAUGGAUUGUAAACUGCUUUUGCACAGGAAGAAACAACUCUACGUGUAGAGUCUUGACGGUACUGUGAGAAUAAGGAUCGGCUAACUCCGUGCCAGCAGCCGCGGUAAUACGGAGGAUCCAAGCGUUAUCCGGAAUCAUUGGGUUUAAAGGGUCCGUAGGCGGUCUUAUAAGUCAGUGGUGAAAUCUCCCCGCUCAACGGGGAAACGGCCAUUGAUACUGUAGGACUUGAAUUAUUAGGAAGUAACUAGAAUAUGUAGUGUAGCGGUGAAAUGCUUAGAGAUUACAUGGAAUACCAAUUGCGAAGGCAGGUUACUACUAAUGGAUUGACGCUGAUGGACGAAAGCGUGGGUAGCGAACAGGAUUAGAUACCCUGGUAGUCCACGCCGUANACGAUGGAUACUAGCUGUUGGAAAGCAUUUCAGUGGCUAAGCGAAAGUGAUAAGUAUCCCACCUGGGGAGUACGUUUCGCAGAAAUGAACUCAAAGGAAUUGACGGGGGCCCGCACAAGCGGUGGAGCAUGUGGUUAAUUAGAUGAUACGCGAGGAACCUUA